UGUAGCUACUAAGAUGAAAAAGAAUUUCACAGAAAUGCUCAGAGAAAGAAAACCUUUUGUAC
rnacentral:sRNA from 1 species